rnacentral:tRNA from 1 species
GCUCCGGGUAGGCGAGGCCCACGACGAUUCCGGCGGCGUGCGCCGGAUCGUUCGGAGCCUCGAGCGCCUCCAGUUCGACACUCGCUUCGAGGCGC